GGGAUCAGAGGAGGCGGGGAUAAAACCUAGGACCUGAACACCCAGUUCAGGGAACGAGGAGGUGCCCGCGAGGUGGCUCUGGGUUUCAGGAUAACAGCCAAAGACGGUUGAUCAGUUCGUGGAUUCAUUACACGGGGAUUGGAUGUAUGUACAAGGGAAACAGUAGUGGACUCAAAACUGGGGGAAGGAGGUGUAUAUGGAAUUGACCCCAGGAACCGCAGCUGCUUACCUCUGACCGGUGGGUCCCAGGGAACAUGGCUGAGGCACACCAGGCCUCGAGCUUGCUGUCUUCACUCAGUUCCGACGGGGCAGAAGUGGAGCUCAGCUCCUCAGUGUGGCAGGAGAUUUACCUCUCUGCCCUACGCUCCUGGAAAAGGCAUCUCUGGCGUGUCUGGAAUGACUUUCUUGCUGGUGUGGUCCCGGCAACGCCCCUCAGCUGGCUUUUCCUCUUCAGUACAAUCCAGCUUGCUUGUCUCCUCCAGCUGGACCCUUCCCUAGGACUGAUGGAGAAGAUUAAAGAGUUGCUGCCAGACUGGGGCGGACAGCACCACCAGCUCCAGGGGCUCCUGGCAGCAGCAGUCUUUGCCUCGUGUUUGUGGGGAACCCUGAUCUUCACACUUCAUGUGGCUCUGAGGCUCCUGCUGUCCCACCACGGCUGGCUUCUGGAACCUCAUGGUACCAUGUCCUCACCCACGAAGACCUGGCUGGCAUUGGUCAGAAUCUUUUCGGGGAGGCACCCGAGGCUCUUCAGCUUUCAACGUGCGCUCCCGCGGCAGCCAGUGCCCGGAGCGCAUGAGACCGUGCGCAAGUACCUAGAGUCCGUGCGCCCUGUGCUCCGAGACGACGCUUUCGACAGCGUUGUGGCGCUGGCAAACGACUUCCUGAGGUUGCAGGCGCCACGACUCCAGCUCUAUUUGCAACUCAAGUCCUGGUGCGCUUCCAACUACGUCAGCGACUGGUGGGAAGAGUUUGUGUACCUGCGUUCUCGAGGCUCGCUGGUUAAUAGCACCUACUACAUGAUGGUGAGGAGGGAGAGGCAGGCAGGGGCUGGCAGGGGCCUUGUGGCCUUGGCGACCCAUGACAGUGCAGAGCGCUGGCUGGGGCCCCCAUCAGGGACAAGCAUGGCCUCAGUAUAUUUUGUAUUCCCUCCCUUUGCCACCAAGCAGGAUUUUCUGUAUGUCACCCCCACACCACUGCAGGCAGCCCGUGCGGGCAAUGCCGUGCAUACCCUGCUCCUGUAUCGCCACCUUCUGAACCGGCAGGAGAUCCCACCGACCUUGCUGAUGGGGAUGCGACCCUUGUGCUCCGCCCAGUACGAGAGGAUGUUCAACACUACACGGAUUCCAGGGGUGGAAAAAGACUACCUUUGUCACCUCCAAGACAGCCAACAUGUGGCUGUCUUCCACCAGGGCAGAUUCUUCCGUGUAGAGACCCACUCUUCCAAUGGCCUGCUGUCCCCACGGGCCCUGGAACAGCAGUUCCAGGACAUCCUGGACGACCCCUCCCCAGCCUGUCCCCUUGAGGAACAUCUAGCUGCUUUGACUGCCGCUCCCAGGAGUAUGUGGGCCCAGGUACGUGAGUCUGUGAAGACCCAUGCGGCCACUGCCUUGGAGACUGUGGAAGGGGCUGCCUUCUUUGUGUCCCUGGAUUCUGAGCCCGCGGGACUGACCAGAGAGAACCCCGCAGCUUCCCUAGACACCUAUGCCCACAGUCUGCUGACUGGCCAAGGCCAUGACCGUUGGUUUGACAAAUCCUUCACCCUCAUCGUCUUCUCCAACGGGAAGCUGGGCCUCAGCGUGGAGCACUCAUGGGCUGACUGCCCUGUCGCGGGACAUUUAUGGGAGUUCACCCUGGCCACAGAGUGCUUCCAGUUGGGAUACGCCACAGACGGCCACUGUAAGGGGUACACCGACCCUGCCCUGCCGAAGCCCCAGCGCCUGCAGUGGGACCUUCCAGAGCAGAUCCAGCCGUCCAUCUCUCUGGCCCUGAGGGGAGCCAAGACCUUGUCUGGCAAUAUUGACUGCCAUGUCUUCCCCUUCUUCCACUUCGGCAAGAGCUUCAUCAAACGCUGUCAUGUCUCUUCAGACAGUUUCAUCCAGCUGGUCCUGCAGCUGGCCCACUUCAGGGACAGGGGUCAAUUCUGCCUGACUUAUGAAUCAGCCAUGACCCGACUGUUUCUGGAAGGCAGGACGGAGACAGUGAGGUCUUGCACUAGAGAGGCCUGCCAAUUUGUGAGAGCCAUGGAAAACAAGGAGAGGACAACUGCCCUGGGGGACCUAGGACCAACAGUGCCUUGCCCUGUUCCGGGUAGCCGUGGACAAGCACCAGGCCCUGCUGAAGGCAGCAAUGAGUGGGCAAGGGAUCGACCGUCACCUCUUCGCACUGUACAUCAUGUCCCGGCUUCUCCACAUGCAGUCGCCCUUCCUGACCCAGGUCCAGUCGCAGCAAUGGCUUCUGUCUACCAGCCAGAUCCCUGUGCAGCAGGCACACCUGUUCGAUGUCCACAAUUACCCGGAUUAUGUUUCCUCUGGAGGUGGAUUUGGGCCUGCCCAUGACCAUGGGUAUGGCGUCUCCUACAUCUUCAUGGGGGAAAACGCAAUCACCUUCCACAUCUCCAGCAAGCAAUCAAGCACAGAAACAGACUCACACCGGCUGGGGCAGCACAUUGAAGAUGCCCUGUUGGAUGUAGCCUCCCUGUUCCAGGCUGGACAGCAAUUCAAGCGCCAGUUCACAGGGCUCGGGGAGAGUUCAUGUUGGAAAUACAGCAAUCUCUCCUGUAAGACUGUGGACCCCAAUAUCCCCAAAUCCUCCACCAACUUGUGAGCCCCUCAGCAGGGAGCUGGUCUCCCUCAGGAAGGAGGGCAUUGCUCCCAGGACUUGGCUGGCGCAGACAGGGGUAUUGGGGAUCCCCACACCCUCCUGGUAAUAAAGAUGGGAGUUGGAUGCAGUA